rnacentral:rRNA from 1 species
GACGAACGCUGGCGGCGUGCUUAACACAUGCAAGUCGAACGGAAAGGCCUCUUUCGGGGGGUACUCGAGUGGCGAACGGGUGAGUAACACGUGAGUAACCUGCCCUUGACGUUGGGAUAACUUCAGGAAACUGGGGCUAAUACCGGAUAGGAGCUCCUGCUGCAUGGUGGGGGUUGGAAAGUUUCGGCGGUUGGGGAUGGACUCGCGGCUUAUCAGCUUGUUGGUGGGGUAGUGGCUUACCAAGGCUUUGACGGGUAGCCGGCCUGAGAGGGUGACCGGCCACACUGGGACUGAGAUGCGGCCCAGACGCCUACGGGAGGACGCAGUGGGGAAUAUUGCACAAUGGGUGCAAGCCGGAUGCAGCAACGCCGUGUGCGGGAUGACGGCCUUCGGGUUGUAAACCGCUUUCGCUCAUGACGAAGCUUUGUGUGACGGUAGUGGGUAAAGAAGCACCGGCUAACUACGUG